rnacentral:rRNA from 1 species
UGGGGAAUAUUGCACAAUGGGCGCAAGCCUGAUGCAGCCAUGCCGCGUGUGUGAAGAAGGCCUUCGGGUUGUAAAGCACUUUCAGCGAGGAGGAAGGUGGUGAGCUUAAUACGCUCAUCAAUUGACGUUACUCGCAGAAGAAGCACCGGCUAACUCCGUGCCAGCAGCCGCGGUAAUACGGAGGGUGCAAGCGUUAAUCGGAAUUACUGGGCGUAAAGCGCACGCAGGCGGUUUGUUAAGUCAGAUGUGAAAUCCCCGGGCUCAACCUGGGAACUGCAUUUGAAACUGGCAAGCUAGAGUCUCGUAGAGGGGGGUAGAAUUCCAGGUGUAGCGGUGAAAUGCGUAGAGAUCUGGAGGAAUACCGGUGGCGAAGGCGGCCCCCUGGACGAAGACUGACGCUCAGGUGCGAAAGCGUGGGGAGCAAAACAGGAUUAGAUACCCCUGGUAGUCCACGCAUGUAAACGAUGUCGACUUUGGAGGUUGUCGCCCUUGAGGCGUGGCUUCCGGAGCUAACGCGUUAAAUCGACCGCCUGGGGAGUACGGCCGCAAGGUUAAAACUUAAAUGAAUUGACGGGGUCAUAGCUG